rnacentral:rRNA from 1 species
GAGUUUGAUCCUGGCUCAGGAUGAACGCCGGCGGUGUGCCUAAUACAUGCAAGUCGAGCGCACUGGCCCAACUGAUAUGACGUGCUUGCACUGAUUUGACGAUGGAUCACCAGUGAGCGGCGGACGGGUGAGUAACACGUGGGCAACCUGCCCUGGAGCGGGGGAUAACAUUUGGAAACAGAUGCUAAUACCGCAUAAUAAUCAAAACCACAUGAUUUUGAUUUCAAAGAUGGCUUCGGCUAUCACUCCAGGAUGGGCCCGCGGUGCAUUAGCUAGUUGGUAAGGUAACGGCUUACCAAGGCGAUGAUGCAUAGCCGAGUUGAGAGACUGAUCGGCCACAAUGGAACUGAGACACGGUCCAUACUCCUACGGGAGGCAGCAGUAGGGAAUCUUCCACAAUGGGCGCAAGCCUGAUGGAGCAACACCGCGUGAGUGAAGAAGGGUUUCGGCUCGUAAAACUCUGUUGUUGAAGAAGAACGUGCGUGAGAGUAACUGUUCACGCAGUGACGGUAUUCAACCAGAAAGUCACGGCUAACUACGUGCCAGCAGCCGCGGUAAUACGUAGGUGGCAAGCGUUAUCCGGAUUUAUUGGGCGUAAAGCGAGCGCAGGCGGUUACUUAAGUCUGAUGUGAAAGCCUUCGGCUUAACCGAAGAAGUGCAUCGGAAACUGGGUGACUUGAGUGCAGAAGAGGACAGUGGAACUCCAUGUGUAGCGGUGAAAUGCGUAGA